AGAGUUUGAUCCUGGCUCAGGAUGAACGCUAGCUACAGGCUUAACACAUGCAAGUCGAGGGGAAACGACAUCGAAAGCUUGCUUUUGAUGGGCGUCGACCGGCGCACGGGUGAGUAACGCGUAUCCAACCUGCCCACCACUUGGGGAUAACCUUGCGAAAGUAAGACUAAUACCCAAUGACGUCUCUAGAAGACAUCUGAAGGAGAUUAAAGAUUUAUCGGUGAUGGAUGGGGAUGCGUCUGAUUAGCUUGUUGGCGGGGUAACGGCCGACCAAGGCGACGAUCAGUAGGGGUUCUGAGAGGGAGGUCCCCCACAUUGGAACUGAGACAACGGUCCAAACUCCUACGGGAGGCA
rnacentral:rRNA from 1 species